rnacentral:rRNA from 1 species
AGCGAACGCUGGCGGCAGGCCUAACACAUGCAAGUCGAACGAACCCUUCGGGGUUAGUGGCGGACGGGUGAGUAACACGUGGGAACGUGCCUUUAGGCUCGGAAUAACUCAGGGAAACUUGUGCUAAUACCGAAUGUGCCCUUCGGGGGAAAGAUUUAUCGCCUUUAGAGCGGCCCGCGUCUGAUUAGCUAGUUGGUGAGGUAAUGGCUCACCAAGGCUACGAUCAGUAGCUGGUCUGAGAGGAUGACCAGCCACAUUGGGACUGAGACACGGCCCAAACUCCUAUGGGAGGCAGCAGUGGGGAAUCUUGCGCAAUGGGCGAAAGCCUGACGCAGCCAUGCCGCGUGGAUGAUGAAGGUCUUAGGAUUGUAAAAUCCUUUCACCGGUGAAGAUAAUGACUGUAGCCGGAGAAGAAGCCCCGGCUAACUUCGUGCCAGCCGCCGCCGUAAGAC